rnacentral:rRNA from 1 species
UGCAGUCGNACGCUUCUUUUUCCACCGGAGCUUGCUCCACCGGAAAAAGAAGAGUGGCGAACGGGUGAGUAACACGUGGGUAACCUGCCCAUCAGAAGGGGAUAACACUUGGAAACAGGUGCUAAUACCGUAUAACAAUCAAAACCGCAUGGUUUUGAUUUGAAAGGCGCUUUCGGGUGUCGCUGAUGGAUGGACCCGCGGUGCAUUAGCUAGUUGGUGAGGUAACGGCUCACCAAGGCCACGAUGCAUAGCCGACCUGAGAGGGUGAUCGGCCACAUUGGGACUGAGACACGGCCCAAACUCCUACGGGAGGCAGCAGUAGGGAAUCUUCGGCAAUGGACGAAAGUCUGACCGAGCAACGCCGCGUGAGUGAAGAAGGUUUUCGGAUCGUAAAACUCUGUUGUUAGAGAAGAACAAGGAUGAGAGUAACUGUUCAUCCCUUGACGGUAUCUAACCAGAAAGCCACGGCUAACUAC